UUCGCUACAUUUCCUACUACUUUCUGAUUGUCAUACAAAAUGUUACCUUCCACCACGUACCAUAUGCAGGUAUGUUGCUCUAGAAAGCCGCUAUGUUCUACAAACAAUUCAUUCAUUUGUUUGUAUGGGUUGAAGUCGGUUCGUUCCCGGUCGACAGACAAAGUUGGAAAAGUUCUUAUUUGUCUAAAUCUGUGGUGCAAAAACAUGUAAAGUAAUUUUUAAAAAUUAUUGUUUUGUAAAAAUUUAAAAAAAUUUUUAAAAAUUGAUUCGAACAACAAAAAACACACAACAUUGGAUUUAAAUAAAACUCUUUUGAAAAUCUAGAGUUUAUCAAGAGCAAAAUAUAUAGUUCAAAUCAUGCUAAACAACGCCACGAAUAAUAAUUCGACGCAUGUUUGACUAAUGUGAACUAAUAA